rnacentral:rRNA from 1 species
GAUGAACGCUGGCGGCGUGCCUAAUACAUGCAAGUCGAGCGAACAGACGAGGAGCUUGCUCCUCUGACGUUAGCGGCGGACGGGUGAGUAACACAUGGAUAACCUACCUAUAAGACUGGGAUAACUUCGGGAAACCGGAGCUAAUACCGGAUAACAUGUUGAACCGCAUGGUUCAACAGUGAAAGACGGUCUUGCUGUCACUUAUAGAUGGAUCCGCGCCGCAUUAGCUAGUUGGUAAGGUAACGGCUUACCAAGGCAACGAUGCGUAGCCGACCUGAGAGGGUGAUCGGCCACACUGGAACUGAGACACGGUCCAGACUCCUACGGGAGGCAGCAGUAGGGAAUCUUCCGCAAUGGGCGAAAGCCUGACGGAGCAACGCCGCGUGAGUGAAGAAGGUCUUCGGAUCGUAAAACUCUGUUAUUAGGGAAGAACAAAUGUGUAAGUAACUAUGCACGUCUUGACGGUACCUAAUCAGAAAGCCACGGCUAACUACGUG